AGAGAAGUAUGGAUUCGUAUUUUGUCAUGUGACUGAUCUGAACGCAAAACAAAGUAUUGUUUACACUGGAAGAGUAAUCACUGAAGUGGCUCAUUAAAAACAACUCUCCCAUUUCUAGAAACAUGAUACCAGGCCAUCUAUCAGAACUGGGGGCUGUUGCUGGGACUUUAGAGCCUCAGUCUCCCUGCCCUCCGAUGCCCGAGUUUUACUUUUCCUAUCCGAGAUGAAUGAUGCCCCGUGAACUGCAAAGCUACAAAAUGAGGAUAUGCGACGCAAACCUUGUACCCAGCAGAUGCUCCUGGAUUAAGCUUCUGUUGCAAGUAUCCCUUCAUUCCAAAAAGGGACAGGAAAAUAAACUGAUGGAAUGUGCAAUCUGCUCCUUGGUGCAGCUAAAUAUGUGUGUUACUAGUCUCCAGUGUUUUAAUGUAUAUAGUGGCAUAGGGAAAAUAGUUUUUGUUAUUGAUUAACUAUUGUUCAUCUCCAAUAUGAAUCACAUAAGAUAACAAACUCUCAAAAGACGGAGUACAAUGCAAUGAUGCAUUUUAUAUUGCCCAGCCAAGGCCAUACCAGUAUAACCUGAAUCUGUUUUCUCUAUGGCAGUGUUUUUUUUUUACUUCAAGCCCUCCUUGAAGGUUAAAGCUUUGCUUAGGACCCUCCUUGGCUAAUAACAAGGAUACAGACACAGAAAAUCAUAGUUGUAUUAAGCCACCCAACUGGUCUUUAAGCUCGGCUUUCAGGAGUAUAUAGAGAAUAUUCUGCCCAAAUCUCACUUUAAAGGGCAUGUAAAGUCUAAAAUAGAAUAAGGCUAGAAAUGCUGUAUUUUGUAUACUAAAUAUAAACAU